CUUGGUGCAGGGGAACUUCAUCUUCUGGUGAUGAUCUCUAUGGUUUCAUCAUUUAUAAGCCAUGUAUCUCAUGAGGACAUACAAAGGCAUAAAGGCUGCAACCCAAAUCUGAGAAAGGUUGUGAGGUUUUAGGAAUUCCAAACCUACCCUCUUGAAAAACAAGGGAUGGGGAGAUGAAAAGGAGAAGGAACCAGGAAGAUGAUCAAAUGAAGCGUCAAAAUUGCUGCUUAUGUGAACUGAGAGUACUGACUGUACUGUAAGUGUUUAUUUCCUUCCAUUCUACGUAUUUUUAAAAGAUACAAGUUUAAGAACUUGGUCUAGUUCUUCAGAAUGAACCCUGCUUUCAGCUACACUCCAGGUAUCUAAAUCUGCCUCUCCCUAAAGAAAGCACAGCUGUAAAGAUUCUGAAGUAAAUAUGGAAACCUUCCAGAAGUCCUUUCUAUGUUCCUUGGAUUAAAUGCACCCUAUGCAGCAGAAAAAGACAUGAACUACUGGGUAUACAUUGCUUUCUUUGGAAGGCCAGAAGUUAAAAACUAAAUUCUCAUGAAUCUUGAAGCCAUUAAACGUCACUAAAAAGUGAUUAAGUCAGAACAGUGCCCUCAAAAUUUCAUCUCAAA